AUGCCAGCCGCCAGCGGUAUCCCCCGGGACAGGGCACGGCCCACGGGCGGCCCCGCCACACGCGCGGGGGCUGCGACGCCGCCGCCGCCACCGGCCGCCCACCAGCACCAACGGCGGGCGCCGGGCGCCCCCCAGCGGCGGCAGCGCCGCACUGCGCCCACCCGCCCCGGCACGGCACGGGCGGCGCCGAGCGGCCCCGCGGGGAAGAAGGAGGCGGUGGCGGGGGGGGACGAGACCGGCCGCGACCCCCCCCACACCGCCCUCAGCGGGGUCCCGUCUCCCCGCUGUGCCCGUCGGUGUCUGUCAGCCGCCGGCGGGGAGAGGCGUCCCCCGGCGCCGCCGUCCUGCCCGCCCCUGCCCAUCUCUCGGCGUUACGGCACGUCUAAAGCGGGGCCGGCGGGGCCGUUUGCCGGUAAAACGGCUUUCGUCAGGGACAAAUUAAUAAAACCAAAAAGCCCUUCGCCCGUCGAGGAAACCGGGCACCGGGAAGCGGCGGGGCGGCGGAGGAGCCGGAGAAAGAAGGCAAGCUGCAACCCAAUGAAUGACAAGAUUUCCUUCUCAUCCAUGGACGUGAGUGCCUCAGCUGAGCAGCUGAACUAAGAGGAAAAAAUCCUUCCUAGAACCCCCUUUUUCUCUGAUGGUGCACUCAGCUACUCAGCUUCCUUGGAUUUGAAGACUAGUAGCUUCGGGCUUCCUGAAGGAGAAAGG
rnacentral:lncRNA from 1 species